CAGGUUGUGGCUCGGUGGUAGAGAGCUUGCCUACCCCAUGCUAGGCCCUUGGUUCAAUCCCAAGCACCCAGG
rnacentral:tRNA from 1 species